rnacentral:rRNA from 1 species
CCUACGGGGGGCAGCAGUGGGGAAUAUUGCACAAUGGGGGGAACCCUGAUGCAGCGAUGCCGCGUGGAGGAAGAAGGUUUUCGGAUUGUAAACUCCUUUUAUCAGGGACGAUAAUGACGGUACCUGGAGAAUAAGCUCCGGCUAACUACGUGCCAGCAGCCGCGGUAAUACGUAGGGAGCAAGCGUUAUCCGGAUUUAUUGGGUGUAAAGGGUGCGUAGACGGGAAGGCAAGUUAGUUGUGAAAUCCCUCGGCUUAACUGAGGAACUGCAACUAAAACUAUCUUUCUUGAGUGCUGGAGAGGAAA